UACAGAGGGGGCAAGCGUUGUUCGGAAUUACUGGGCGUAAAGGGCGCGUAGGCGGCCUUCUAAGUCGAACGUGAAAUCCCCGGGCUCAACCCGGGAACUGCGUCCGAUACUGGAAGGCUUGAAUCCGGGAGAGGGAUGCGGAAUUCCAGGUGUAGCGGUGAAAUGCGUAGAUAUCUGGAGGAACACCGGUGGCGAAGGCGGCGUUCUGGACUGCAACUGACACUGAGGAACGAAAGCCAGGGGAGCAAACGGG
rnacentral:rRNA from 1 species